GACAGAGGAUGCAAGCGUUAUCCGGAAUUAUUGGGCGUAAAGAGCUCGUAGGCGGUUUGUCGCGUCUGCCGUGAAAGUCCGGGGCUCAACUCCGGAUCUGCGGUGGGUACGGGCAGACUAGAGUGAUGUAGGGGAGACUGGAAUUCCUGGUGUAGCGGUGAAAUGCGCAGAUAUCAGGAGGAACACCGAUGGCGAAGGCAGGUCUCUGGGCAUUAACUGACGCUGAGGAGCGAAAAGCAUGGGGAGCGAACAGG
rnacentral:rRNA from 1 species